UAGGCAUAUAGUUCAGGGGUUAGAGCGGCGGCCUUAUAAGGUGUGUGCCGCCGGUUCGAUCCCGGCUAUGCCUAU
rnacentral:tRNA from 1 species